GAUAUCGCUGGUGCUUAGAGUGA
rnacentral:piRNA from 1 species